CCACUGCAGCUUUAAAUAAAAAACAAACUUUACUAGAUUAAAUUGGGUCAGGGGGGUGAGUGACACUGACAAGGGACCAAUGCAGAGCCCAUGAUCCUGGUUCUCUUAACCUGGAUGACAUCAUUGGUCCGGCCUGGCUGUGUAACACCACCAGCAUCACUUCACCUCUCCACGUUUCCAAGUAGAGCUGCCAGUGGAGAGCCUCCUCCUCAUCAUCAUCCUGCUCUCUCUCUCAUUGGUGACCAGAGACGCCCAUCACGCUGGAUCCAGCUAGAGGGGGGUAUUCUCUAUCCGCGUGGUGCUCCGUCUCCGUCGGAAACGUCCGUCCUCUCCCCGGUCCUCCUCCCGGUCUUCCCGGUCCUCCAUUGGAUCGAGCCGCUGUCAGUCGGCUCCGUCAGCCCUCACAGUGAAACACCGUCCGCCUCUCUCCGGCUCGCUGUCUGCCUGAGACCGCCGUCAUAUUGGCUGCUCGGAGCAGCAGCAGAAAGACCCCCACCAUGAUGAAGACUUAAAGAACAACUAACCUUUUUAAAAACACGUUUGAUUAGUAUUAAAUGUUACAAUCAUCGGGAUGAAACCAUCAGGUAUCCGGGUUCUCUCCGUGCUCCGCUCCGACACCGUGGACCCGAGGCUGGAUGAUGUCUGCCUGACUCUUCAGAGACUGUUUCUGCAGACAAAGAGAGCUGUUGAGUAGAGCUUCACCACCAGGCUGCAGGGUCCCAGGGGCUCCUUUUGAUGAAGAAAGUGGGCAACAUGUGGAGCAACCUGAAGAGCAAAUGCCAGACACUCUUUCACAACAGUUCAGGACUCAGUGAAAGCAGGGUGGAGGCCGAUGCCGUCCUCUGUGUGGUGGAUCUUGGCCAAGGAAGCACCUCAGGUGAGUCUCAGGCAUCAGGAGCCUCCAGCCCGUCACGGAGCCUCCUGCCAGUGCCAAUGGUUACAGCAGGACGGCGCCAUCACAACUGUGUGUCGGACAUCCCUCAGAUAGUGGAGAUUACAAUUGAUAAGGACACUGAGGAUGUGCGUGGGGGAUCAGGGGGUGUUCCCAUGGCCCGGAGAGACUCCUAUUCCCGUCAUGCUCCAUGGGGGGGCAAGAAAAAACACUCAUGUUCCACCAAAACCCAGAGCUCUUUGGAGGCCGACAGGCGGUCUGGGCGCUUACGGGGGAGUGGGAACCGCAGGGACAGGCGUUAUGGAGUCAGCUCCAUCCAGGAGAUGAGCGACUCUGUAUCUGGAGCACGCAGUCUGAAUGCCCGGUCUUUGCGCCAGCGGCUAAGUGAUACAGUAGGGCUGUGCUUACCCCUGCCCGCUCGCAGACGCUCCCGCUCAUCUAAGAACCCCAUCACCCCCAAACGUAAGAUUCACCUGACAGAGCUCAUGCUGGAGACCUGCCCCUUCCCACCAGGCUCCGACCUCGCUCACAAGUGGCACUUGAUCAAGCAACACACAGCACCGGUCAGCCCGCAUUCCUCCACCGCCCUGCUGGAUGCCUUUGACCCGGCCCACCCCUCUCCCGAGGACGAGGAGGAACGUCUGCGUGAGCGCCGCAGACUUAGCAUCGAGGAAGGUGUGGACCCACCACCUAAUGCACAGAUCCACACCCUGGAGGCCUCAGUGCCGGGCUCCUCUCUCUACAAACUGGGACCAAAGAUGGCUCCUGGCAUAGGAGAGACCUCCGGGGAAGGCCGGGCCUCAGGGUCUGGCAGCUCUGCGAGUGCUGGAUCAUCAGGGGCCUGUGGGCCGGUGUUGGCGGCUGCAGUGUCAGCCCAGGACUGUGACUCUGAGGAGGAUUCGACCACCCUCUGUCUGCAGGCCAGGAGGCCCAAGCAGAGGCACGCCUCUGGGGACGGCCACCUGAGCAGACAGCAGCCUGGGCCCUGGAAGGUUCACACUCAGAUAGACUAUAUCCACUGCCUGGUGCCGGACCUGUUGCAGAUCACAGCUCUGCCCUGCUACUGGGGCGUGAUGGACCGCUACGAAGCUGAGGCACUGCUGGAUGGACGGCCAGAGGGCACCUUCCUGCUGCGUGACUCCGCCCAGGAGGACUACCUCUUCUCCGUUAGCUUCCGCCGUUACAACCGCUCACUGCACGCCCGCAUCGAGCAGUGGAACCACAACUUCAGCUUUGACGCUCACGACCCUUGUGUUUUCCACUCUUCCACCGUCACAGGACUGCUGGAGCACUACAAGGAUCCCAGCGCCUGCAUGUUUUUUGAACCGCUGCUUACAGCGCCUCUCCAUCGGACCUUUCCCUUCGGCCUGCAGCACCUGGCACGAGCCGCCAUCUGCCGCUGGACCACUUACGAUGGUAUAGGCUCUCUGCCGCUGCCCCCUGCCCUGCAGGACUUCCUCAAGGAGUAUCACUAUAAACAGAAAGUACGAGUUCGCUGGCUGGAGAGGGAACCGCCACUCAAGGUCAAAUAGGGUGGGCUUCUCCAUUGCCUGUACACACACUGCAGGAGGAUUACAGAACUUUAAAAAAUCCUCAUUAGCCAAUUAGAGGCUAUACUGACAUGGCUCUCUUUCUGCCCUGUUAGGCUGAAGUUAACGUUGAGGAGCCAGGAGGAGGAGAGAUGGAGCUGGCUCACAGAGAGCCGUGGCUUCCUGUUGUGGCAACGGCUUUGCUCACAGAGAGGGCGAGGGAUUUGUUGAAGCAUUGUGAGCUGUGUCGAUGGAGUCGUAUUCUCCACCAUGCUGCAGACUCGGUGCAUGGCGUGUGUGUCGUGUGGGAGUAUAUUAGUGUAUGGACAGAGCCACACGGAGGGGUCCAGUGGAGGAGGAUGCAGAGUGGACUGUGAGGGGUGAUGACAGUGACUCCUAUGAACGACGCCUCUCUGCCCCCCCGUCCCCCCGUCCCACCAACCCUCUUAUUCUCAGGCAGGCCCAUUGCGAGGAGAGUCCCUCUCAACCCAGUUUUCCCCAUGGGAAAUAUCUGACUUUAACCGUAGCACAUGUUUGCCAUAUAACCCGUAGAUUUUAGGAGAGAAAAAAAAAAACAUUGUAUGUAUGAUGAAUGGAGUUAUGUAAUAGGAGCCUGAUGAUGAAAUUUUUAUUCUGUGGUGCAUUAACUGUCUGGAACACAUACAUUUUGCACACACUUGCUAUAUCUCCUGACACCCGCACUACCCCAGGUAUUGACACACAUCCACACCACCCCACCCUACGCCAGGGAUGUGUAAACAUGGACCACAUUUAGCCAGCACCACCUUUCUGCACACCCCCAAAAAAGAGGGCGAGCAAAGAUGGGUGUUUACGUGUAUAUUCUAUGUUCUUAAAGAAAAAGCAAAAUGCCGUGAAUUGAACUAUUUUGACCUUAUAUUGUCAUUAGUAUGACACUAUUUAGCUGCACUAUGAGAGCCUCGUUUGUGGCGAGAAACCACUGGGUCUGGUCUGGCUGGUCGUGUCGCUAGCUGUCCCACUAAACUACAGCAACACCCCCGCAUGAAGGACUUCUACCCCCCUGCCCCCACCUCGGUACGACUCAUGGUUUCAGCUCAAACUAAAAAAAAAAAAAAAAGAUAUUUUAAACAUUUUUUCCCAUAUAUAUUUUAGAAAGCUGGGUUAAGUGCUAUAUGCAAACAGAAAAAAGAUGUAUGAAAGAAUUAUUAUUUUUCAUUCUCCCUAAUAUGCAAUGGAGUGUAGUGUAACAAUGGUUGCAAUCCUCUGUCACUUUAAUGCUGUAUGUGCACAUUGGUUGCUGUGUGGAUGUGGGUGCCGAGGCAACAGGACUUGACAAUGAUGGGAACUAAUGGUUGUCACUCUGCAGCACCGCCGUGUUCCCAGACCGCCUUAUUCGUUCUGACCAAUCACAAGAGCCCUUUAAGUCUCCGGGCCUCAGCCAGCCACCGCCACAGGCUGACCGAGCUGUCGUCAGACGAAUAUCGCUGUUCCAUUUUCUUCUGCUUUUUCUUUUCCUUCCUUCUUCUUUUUUUUUUUCUUCUUCUUUCUGCUGUCAGGUAGGAUUUGGAGCGUGUAAAUGGCAUAAUCAUGUUCACAUUUCACUGUCUGUUCUGUGUAUCUGCUUCACCAUUCAAAGAGAGAAAAAAAAACAGUUGUUUUCCAGUAUAACCUGUUCAUUUUUAAGAGCCGUAUGAUGCGACACUUGUAGCUGUCACUCUUGGUGCUUGGCUUAUGCUUCAUUGUCUUAAUAUUCCAAAUAAAACUGUUAAGUGUAAUCCACACUGGCCCAUGAUAUAA